CUGGAGAAAAUCCUGCUCCCUGGUUGCUGAACCAAUGUUCCAAAAUGGAGACUAUUCUGCUAUUUUGAAGACAGCUCACGCUCCCCUUUCACUUCUUGCAGUGAAAUCAGCAGCAGGGUUUUGCACUCUCUGUUAUGACUCUCAUCACAUCAGAUUGAUUGCUGCAGUCUCAGGAUCCUGCAGAAAAUGUGGGGCAGGAAGAAAGUUGUUAUUCAGGCAAAAUUAUCUCCAGUAGCAGCAGCAGGAACCCCGAAUACACCCAGCAGUGGCAACACCAACAGAUAUAAUGACAAGGAGCUGGGAUGUGAUUUCAGCCAAAGUCAAACAUUUUUGGUCUGUAAAGCGUCAUCUUUGUGAAAAUGUUACACGCGCCCCUGUUUGUUCCAGGCACUGCAAGAAUCUGUAUUCAGAAGAAAAAGAAGAGGACUAUCGUGAGGAACAUUUAAGGAAUACUGAAAAAUGCUGGUGCAGGGUUAUUGUCCCCUUACUAAGAGCAAAACAUCUCUGCAGAGAGGCACUGGAGCAGAUCUGAGGCAAUGAGUCCACUCCAUUGAAUGCACUGCUAUGUGGUACGUGGUGCUAGACUUCACCAUAUCUUUAGAGCACAUGGUGCUAGGAGCUCCAUAACUCCAGCUAGCUGAGUUCAGAAUUUGGCCCUAAAGCUUGACAUUUCAGAGCGACUGUAAUGAAUAGUAUAAAUUGAAAAUGUAAGUGUUGCAUAAUCCUGACACACCUGUAACCUGUCUGUGCGCGUGUGCCCUGGCUUCAGACAGCUGCAUGCGCUCAGUGGCUUACAGUCCACCAAGGGACUUAGCCACUAGGGGACUAAGCUUUAGUGCUUUGAAGAUUGUUUCUGAAACGUUGCCAUUGGGUCUGUCUACAUUCUCAUUGGCGGGGGGGAGCCU